UACGAACUGUGCAAACGUUAUUCGGAAUCACUGGGCUUAAAGGGUGCGUAGGCGGCUUGCUAAGUAGGGUGUGAAAGCCCCCGGCUCAACCGGGGAACUGCGCCCUAAACUGGCGAGCUGGAGUGAGAUAGGGGUGUGUGGAACUUCCAGUGGAGCGGUGAAAUGUGUUGAUAUUGGAAGGAACACCGGUGGCGAAAGCGACACACUGGAUCUCAACUGACGCUGAGGCACGAAAGCCAGGGGAGCAAACGGG
rnacentral:rRNA from 1 species